rnacentral:rRNA from 1 species
GCACAAGGAGUAGCAAUACGAAUUGUGCUUAGUGGCGGACGGGUGAGUAACACGUAGGUAACCUACCCUCGAGCGGGGGACAACCCAGGGAAACUUGGGCUAAUACCGCAUAAGACCACGGACUGGGAUGUCAGUGGUAAAAGGAGCAAUUCACUUGGGGAUGGGCCUGCGGCCUAUCAGGUAGUUGGUGGGGUAAAGGCCUACCAAGCCAGAGACGGGUAGCCGGUCUGAGAGGACGAACGGCCACACUGGAACUGAGAGACGGUCCAGACUCCUACGGGAGGCAGCAGUGGGGAAUUUUGCACAAUGGGCGAAAGCCUGAUGCAGCGACGCCGCGUGGAGGACGAAGGCCUUCGGG